GGAGAGUCCAAGUCCAAGCAACAUAGCGUCUCACAAUCAGAACCUCUUUUAAACUGAAUUGUCCCGGUAACGAGAUCUUGAUUUGGGUUUGAAAUUAAGAAAUGAGACAACAACAUGUGAAGAAGCUCUAAGAAAGUUGGAAACCUCCUCUAUUGCCUCUUCUGAUAUGCCACUACAGCUAUCCCAAACAAUUAUCAGUUCUUCUAAUACUUGUGCAUUCUUGAGGAAAAACCUCAGUAGCUCUAUCUCUUUAUCUUCAUUUUUGAAACCAGCCAACUGAAUCAACUUUAGAUGAGACUCCAGGCACAAAACGCUUUCACUAGGAUCAUGGAACUUCCAGUUUUCAUCCCAACCGUAAUUCUCAUCAGAAAACAAAUUAAGAACCUCUAAAUUAGGAGAAUGCUUGAGCAAUAGCAUCAUGAUUUCCAUGCAAGAUUCGUCAAUUGCCACUGCCAA
rnacentral:misc_RNA from 1 species